UGCGGCUCUUCACAGGAGCGUAUCGUGUCAGCAGAGGCGCUCGUUGGAGCUACAGCAGAGACAUUCACCGCAUUGGACCAGAAGGAGGAACCAGCAUCUUUACAUUCCUUACUGGAAAUAAUCACUUUGAUGGAUUUGCUUGAUUUGCCAAAGCGUCAUUCAGCUUUACGCACGGAUUCUUUGAACUUAUUAAGAGGAUUACACUGUAAAGUUACAGCACUGACACACGUGGAUAAGUUACUAUUAUUUUUUGCUUCAACCUGAUUACGAUGGCAACAGCUGAGGGAUUCAAAACUCAAGCUAUGGAUCAUCCUGUAGGUAACGGGAAAAAUGUUUCUGUCCGGGAUGAGUGGCGCCUGUUCCUGCCAUGGUCCUCCUGCUGGACAAGUCGGCUGACGGACAGUCGAGUCUCUGGGGAUACACGCGUUGUCAACAGUGUCAGACAUGGUCAGUGUCAUUUGCUUUUUGGAAAUGUCUUGUGGUGGAUUUCGGCACAAGGAAAAGGGAUACCCUGGAAUACAGUUUGGAGGCUGCGCUCAGUAGAUGUCCAGUGAUUUGGAUAAUGUGGAUACGCAUCUCCUGACCCAGCAGUGAAGGAAUCCAGGCUCUUCGAAUGAGAUGUCGACCUUUAAUUGCUUCCCAACGAUCUUCUGAUUAUCCCAGGUGAGCACCAAGAAGAGCCUGACUAAUGGAAACAUGAUCUCAAGAGAUUCAACAGGAUCACACCAAAUCCCAGUUUGGACGGUGGACCAGCAUCCCCCGCAGCAGAUGUUUGCUCCUGGCAUGGCUGCUGACAGCAUGAGCUCCAUCACUGACAGGCUAGCUCUCAGGAUCCAGCCAGCAGCAUGAACUUGGAGGAGCCGUGACAUAAACUCAGCGGGACAGCAGAGAGUAUUCCGCUGCUCAGACAUCAUGGAACAGAUCAGUCAACUUCUGCUGGAGAGGUGCUCAACAGAGGAGUCAACUUGAUGAAUGUGCAUUUACUGUAGCUACCACGACGAUAUACAUAUUGUUGAACCCGCAUUAAGAUUUUCCCGUUCAAACAUCUGCUCUUGCUUUUCAGUGUUUAUUCACACUGUUGCUCAUACACUGAAGCUGUGACAUUUACUGUGUUAUUUUAAAUACAGUAUGACCAGUUUUUGGAAUUUCAUUUUUUUUUACUUUUUUGAAUGUAACACCACUGCUGAAGAUUUAAAGUUGAGCAAGUGAGGAUACACGUCGGCUACAUGUGUGAUCAAGAUUCCUCCGUCAAUGGCACUGAAGCUUUUCAAAGAGCCAUUGUCAUCAAGGUGUUGAUGAAUGUAAAACAAAAACUCUCUUAAUGACAUCACAUUUCAUUUUGACACAUUGGCAGCGUGUCUAAAUUUUGGUUCAUAAUCCUGUCAAGCUGUCAACUCUCAUUAUGAUUGAUUGCUUCAAUGCUGGUGUUGUGUCUGUGAAACCCUGUUCGUGGAAAUAAAGAAGUGUAUCCAA